GAUAUACUCUGUAUAUAAGAAUGUGCUUCGUAUUUUGCUUAUACUUGGUGAAUUUUUCAAUUUUUAUACAGCCUUGGGAAAGUGAGUUCAUAUAUUCACAGCGGGUAUGGGCUGAAAAUCCUCUUAAGAGGCAGGAAGCUCAGGCCAGAAAGAACUGAGCUUGUCGGUUGGUGACUAUGUCAUUGUGCGAAACCUAUUUUUUAUUUUCUUGAGGCAACUUUCUCUAUUUUUUAUUUUCAAGUUUGCAGUCAUAACCUUGGGAAGUAGUUGUAGACUAUGUUUGUAUGUGAAAUCUUAAAGGUUUUCAAAAGGGCUUGCUCAUGUUGAUUACAUGCUCAACCAUUUUCUAGAGGUAUGUUGUUUUUAUUGCAAUACUUUUCUGACAUUCAUAAUGCUCAUACUUCUAUUCUGUUAGUUUAGGUGACUCCUUUUCAUGGCAAUUAUACUUCUGGUAUUGUGCUGUACCAUCUCAUGUUUAAUUUCUGAUUUCUAAUUAUUGUUUGUACAAAGAAAUAUAAUAUAUAUUGAUAUAUGCAGGCUAUCGCUGUAGUGAAGCAAGCAUUGGACGUUGACCCUACAAACUUAGAGAUGCUUCAUGCACUUGGUGUGAGUCAUGCAAAUGAUUUAGUCAUUGGUGGUUGGUUCAUUGUACUGUAACUUGCCUGUUCAAGGCUCUUUGGCAUUGGCUUUCUUGAUGGAGCAAUAAAGGUGUUGUAGAAUUGCUCUUCAUCACAAUUCUCAGAGGAUAUGAUGUAUGUAUAUCUAAAAGGUAGGUGUAGGAAAUAUUUUUCAUGUAACAACCAACAGGAUGCCAUAUUUAUUAUUUAUUCACAAAGUUCAUUGUUGUUUCUAGUUUGUUGCCAUAUUUUUCAGUCAGGUUAUGGCAAGGAGGAAAUACCGCUGGCCCUGGGAGAUAUCACUAAACAAAUGACUGCAAUAGAAGAAAUGGUUGCAAGUGAGUACAAUUAGCCAGACCCUUAUCUUUGUGACAAGAUCUUGAAGAUGGUCAUUUGUGAAGCGUUCUAGUUUGCUAUUAGUUGCAAUUUUAGUUAUUGCUCUUUCAAUAUAUUCUUUUUCUUUCUUUCUUUCUUUUUUUCCAAAGGAUGAUCAAUGUAUAAUAAUUAAGCUUCAUAACUUCUUUGUAUUUGGAGCCAAGUUGUAUAUAAAUGUACACAUUAUUAAGAUUUCAUUUUGUAUAUGUACAAGUAAAAGAUUUCAUUUUUAA